UGAUUCUACUGGCUCAUUCUAGUUGAGGGC
rnacentral:piRNA from 1 species